rnacentral:rRNA from 1 species
UACGUAGGGGGCAAGCGUUGUCCGGAUUUACUGGGCGUAAAGAGCGUGUAGGCGGCCACGCAGGUCCGUUGUGAAAACUGGAGGCUCAACUUCCAGCCGUCGACGGAAACCGUGUGGCUAGAGUCCGGAAGAGGAGAGUGGAAUUCCUGGUGUAGCGGUGAAAUGCGCAGAUAUCAGGAGGAACACCGGUGGCGAAGGCGGUUCUCUGGGCAUUACCUGACGCUGAGGAGCGAAAGUGUGGGGAGCAAACAGG